UGUAUGGCUUAGUGGUUCCUGGAUGUUCCUGGAUGCCUGACAUCACAUUGAUACAUGCUGGAGGUCUGGCUCAGCCAGCUGCCAUGCUGUGAGCUGCCUCAUGGUGAGAUCCAUGGGGCAAGGCAUCAGAGGAGGCCUCUGGGAAACAACUCAUGAGGAACUGAGGCCUCCAGUCCAACAACCGUGAGGAGCUGAAUCCUGCCAGGAACAAUUUGAGUGAUCUUAGAAGAGGAUCCAUCCCCAGUUGAGCCUUAAGAUGAUCUGAGUUCCUGCUGACACCUGGACUGCAUUUUGGUAUCUCAGUUCCUUUUGCAAGAGACCCAGAGCCAGAGGAUUUAGCAAGUUGCACCUGAAUGGACUGUUGAUGAGUCUUGAAAAGAUGAGAUAAUAAAUGCUGCUUUAAGUCA
rnacentral:lncRNA from 10 species